GGGUUGUGAGGUUAAGCGACUAAGCGUACACGGUGGAUGCCCUGGCAGUCAGAGGCGAUGAAGGGCGUGCUAAUCUGCGAUAAGCGCCGGUAAGGUGAUAUGAACCGUUAUAACCGGCGAUACCCGAAUGGGGAAACCCAGUGUGACUCGUCACACUAUCAUUAACUGAAUCCAUAGGUUAAUGAGGCGAACCGGGGGAACUGAAACAUCUAAGUACCCCGAGGAAAAGAAAUCAACCGAGAUUCCCCCAGUAGCGGCGAGCGAACGGGGAGGAGCCCAGAGCCUGAAUCAGCAUAUGUGUUAGUGGAAGCGUCUGGAAAGGCGCGCGAUACAGGGUGACAGCCCCGUACACAAAAGCGCAUGUGCUGUGAGCUCGAUGAGUAGGGCGGGACACGUGGUAUCCUGUCUGAAUAUGGGGGGACCAUCCUCCAAGGCUAAAUACUCCUGACUGACCGAUAGUGAACCAGUACCGUGAGGGAAAGGCGAAAAGAACCCCGGCGAGGGGAGUGAAAAAGAACCUGAAACCGUGUACGUACAAGCAGUGGGAGCACAGGUUUACCUGUGUGACUGCGUACCUUUUGUAUAAUGGGUCAGCGACUUAUAUUCUGUAGCAAGGUUAACCGAAUAGGGGAGCCGGAGGGAAACCGAGUCUUAACCGGGCGUUAAGUUGCAGGGUAUAGACCCGAAACCCGGUGAUCUAGCCAUGGGCAGGUUGAAGGUUGGGUAACACUAACUGGAGGACCGAACCGACUAAUGUUGAAAAAUUAGCGGAUGACCUGUGGCUGGGGGUGAAAGGCCAAUCAAACCGGGAGAUAGCUGGUUCUCCCCGAAAGCUAUUUAGGUAGCGCCUCGUGAAUUCAUCUCCGGGGGUAGAGCACUGUUUCGGCUAGGGGGCCAUCCCGGCUUACCAACCCGAUGCAAACUGCGAAUACCGGAGAAUGUUAUCACGGGAGACACACGGCGGGUGCUAACGUCCGUCGUGAAGAGGGAAACAACCCAGACCGCCAGCUAAGGUCCCAAAGUCAUGGUUAAGUGGGAAACGAUGUGGGAAGGCCCAGACAGCCAGGAUGUUGGCUUAGAAGCAGCCAUCAUUUAAAGAAAGCGUAAUAGCUCACUGGUCGAGUCGGCCUGCGCGGAAGAUGUAACGGGGCUAAACCAUGCACCGAAGCUGCGGCAGCGACGCUGAUGCGUUGUUGGGUAGGGGAGCGUUCUGUAAGCCUGCGAAGGUGGCCUGUGAGGGUUGCUGGAGGUAUCAGAAGUGCGAAUGCUGACAUAAGUAACGAUAAAGCGGGUGAAAAGCCCGCUCGCCGGAAGACCAAGGGUUCCUGUCCAACGUUAAUCGGGGCAGGGUGAGUCGACCCCUAAGGCGAGGCCGAAAGGCGUAGUCGAUGGGAAACGGGUUAAUAUUCCCGUACUUGGUGUUACUGCGAAGGGGGGACGGAGAAGGCUAUGUUGGCCGGGCGACGGUUGUCCCGGUUUAAGCGUGUAGGUGUGUGUUCCAGGUAAAUCCGGUUCACUUUAACACUGAGGCGUGAUGACGAGGCACUACGGUGCUGAAGCAACAAAUGCCCUGCUUCCAGGAAAAGCCUCUAAGCAUCAGGUAACAUCAAAUCGUACCCCAAACCGACACAGGUGGUCAGGUAGAGAAUACCAAGGCGCUUGAGAGAACUCGGGUGAAGGAACUAGGCAAAAUGGUGCCGUAACUUCGGGAGAAGGCACGCUGACACGUAGGUGAAGUGAUUUACUCAUGGAGCUGAAGUCAGUCGAAGAUACCAGCUGGCUGCAACUGUUUAUUAAAAACACAGCACUGUGCAAACACGAAAGUGGACGUAUACGGUGUGACGCCUGCCCGGUGCCGGAAGGUUAAUUGAUGGGGUCAGCGCAAGCGAAGCUCCUGAUCGAAGCCCCGGUAAACGGCGGCCGUAACUAUAACGGUCCUAAGGUAGCGAAAUUCCUUGUCGGGUAAGUUCCGACCUGCACGAAUGGCGUAAUGAUGGCCAGGCUGUCUCCACCCGAGACUCAGUGAAAUUGAACUCGCUGUGAAGAUGCAGUGUACCCGCGGCAAGACGGAAAGACCCCGUGAACCUUUACUAUAGCUUGACACUGAACAUUGAGCCUUGAUGUGUAGGAUAGGUGGGAGGCUUUGAAGUGUGGACGCCAGUCUGCAUGGAGCCGGCCUUGAAAUACCACCCUUUAAUGUUUGAUGUUCUAACGUGGACCCGUGAUCCGGGUUGCGGACAGUGUCUGGUGGGUAGUUUGACUGGGGCGGUCUCCUCCUAAAGAGUAACGGAGGAGCACGAAGGUUGGCUAAUCCUGGUCGGACAUCAGGAGGUUAGUGCAAUGGCAUAAGCCAGCUUGACUGCGAGCGUGACGGCGCGAGCAGGUGCGAAAGCAGGUCAUAGUGAUCCGGUGGUUCUGAAUGGAAGGGCCAUCGCUCAACGGAUAAAAGGUACUCCGGGGAUAACAGGCUGAUACCGCCCAAGAGUUCAUAUCGACGGCGGUGUUUGGCACCUCGAUGUCGGCUCAUCACAUCCUGGGGCUGAAGUAGGUCCCAAGGGUAUGGCUGUUCGCCAUUUAAAGUGGUACGCGAGCUGGGUUUAGAACGUCGUGAGACAGUUCGGUCCCUAUCUGCCGUGGGCGCUGGAGAACUGAGGGGGGCUGCUCCUAGUACGAGAGGACCGGAGUGGACGCAUCACUGGUGUUCGGGUUGUCAUGCCAAUGGCACUGCCCGGUAGCUAAAUGCGGAAGAGAUAAGUGCUGAAAGCAUCUAAGCACGAAACUUGCCCCGAGAUGAGUUCUCCCUGAGACUUAGAGUCUCCUGAAGGAACGUUGAAGACGACGACGUUGAUAGGCCGGGUGUGUAAGCGCAGCGAUGCGUUGAGCUAACCGGUACUAAUGAACCGUGAGGCUUAACCUUACAACGCCGAAG
rnacentral:rRNA from 1 species